GUUCCAAAUGACUUCCUAAUCAGUAAUAUGAUGGGGAAUAUAAAGCCGCAUCAUGCUGACCCUCUCCUUCUCACAUGCCUACUGAAUCAGGAACAUCUCCUGAAGCAAUUUACAUGCAUCUGAUAACACCAUAUCAACAACUCUUCAAAUUAUUGUGGAACCCAGCCACCGACUUCAACAAAAGUUCUUGUAGGAAACUGACGUGUUUAAAGAGCCCCUGUAUUUUUCUGCCUCUUGCUAGUACAUUGUCCCUUCUCCACCUGCAUUGUGGAUCUGACUUGCUGGACUCCAAGGCCAUUUCUCUAUCUCUGGACCACACAUGUGUUGCCUUGAGAUGUGGCUUUAAAUUCCAUGUCUACAACAGCAAAUGACACAGAGAAGAGAAAUUGAAAAUCUGCCACCCAGAAGCUGCCCCUUCCAGCCAAGAGGAAGGAUUUUAUUUGCAAAGGAGAUGCAGCUGCCUAACAAAUUGUGUGUGACAAGAAAGUUGUUGUGUCAGGGCAUUUCUACAGAAAGCCAAAAUAUAUUGACAUGCCCCAUCUAUAUAA